GGGAAGUAAAGUGGCAUUUGGAUCGGUAUGUGGGUUAUGCGGAGGGAAAAGGUCACGAGGAAGGUUGAGGGGCGACAAUGGAGGGGAAGGUCCCCGAAAGGGCCUAAGCUUGGAAAUAUGAACCAUAGGGUGGAUUUUGGCUGUCUCUGGAAGGGCCAAAUCAUAGGCCACCGGACCAAUGCGACGACGGACCUGGAAGGGGCCAAAAUAACGACGGCCGAGUUUGUUUGACGAUCGACGAGACACUGUGGUUUGCCAGUACGGUUGGAGCCGGAGAAGGACCCAGUCACCAACUUCAAAGCCACGGUGGUAAGUGAAGAGGAGCCCGGAAGGAGAUCAAUGGUAGCCGGAGGGGGUCGACCAUACAGGACAUGGAAUGGAGACGUACCCAGACUAGAGUGGCGUGAAGUGUUGUACCAAUAUUCGGCGAGAUGCAAGAACCGAUACCAGGUAUACGAGGUAGGUCACCAGCAAAACAGCGGAGGUAGGUUUCCAACGACCGGUUCAAGACCUCGGUUUGACCAUCAGUUUGAGGAUGGUAAGCGGAGCUGAAACAUAGGGUUGUGCCUUGCAUGCGAAAAAGCUCCUUCCAAAAAGCACUAAUGAAGACUGGGUCACGAUCAGAAACGAUGGACUUUGGUACACCAUGCAAACGACAAAUGUCCACCAUGAAACGUUGGGCCAGUUGUGGAGCAGAAAAUUUGGCAGGUAAGGCGAUGAAGUGGGCGAACUUGCUGAGCCUAUCACACAAAACCCAAAUAGUGGUGUGGCCAAAAGAUCCAGGUGGAACACUGGCGGAUGAAGGUUCGAGUGUCAUUGGCAGCCAUUUUUGGCCAAUAGAAGGAAGCAGAGAGACGACAAAUAGUCGGUUUCAAACCAGAGUGGCCAGCCAGAGGUGUGCAAUGAAACUCACGAAUAAGCUUGUGACGGAGGUCUGGAAGGUCAGGGACGAAUAUGCGUUCCUUAAAAAAUAUCAACCCAUUGCGACAGGAUGCAACUGGAGAUGAUACAGAAAAAACCAGCAUGGUGGGUGGUUUCGGUCGAGACAGAGCAUCAGCAACCAAAUUCUGCUUACCAGGCCUGUAUAAAAUGUCAAAGUGAAACCCCAAAAAUUUAGUGGCCCAUUUCUGUUGUGUUGGGGGUGUGAAUAGAUUGCGAGAAGUUUCUUGCUGAAAAAGGCUAACGGAUGGCCCUGUUGAGAAAGAAAAGCACCAACGGCAAUGGCGGAAGCAUCAGUUUCAAGCACGAACGAGGAAUUGAAAUCAGGAAGGCCUAACACCGGAGUCGAUGUCAUAUGCUGCUUUAAGGAUGUAAAGGCCAUUUGGGCGUCUUCCGUCCAUGUAAAAUUCUGAGAUUUAAGUAAAUUGGUGAGAGGAGCGGCGAUAGUAGCGUAGUUCUUCACGAAACGUCGAUGAUAGGCCUAAGAAUCCACAUAAAGUCGAGAGAGAACGUGGUGCAGGCCACUCCACAAUGGCUUGUAUCUUGGUUGCGUCUGGGGAAACACCCUGAUCAUUGAUAAUAUGGCCUAGAUACUCAACAGAAGUCACACCAAACUCACACUUAGAUAAUUUGGCAUAAAAUUGAUUAGAAGGCAACAAAUUGAGGAUAAUGCGCAAAUGACUAAGGUGGCUAUCAAAUGAUUCACUAUAGACCAAAAUAUCAUUAAAAAAAAACUAGAACAAAUUUUCGUAAAUAUGGUCUGAGUAAAUCAUUCAUAGCUGCCUGAAAAGUGGAAGGAGCAUUUGACAACCCAAAAGGCAUCACCAAAAAUUCAUAGUGGCCAUCAAAUGUCCUAAAAGCUGUUUUGUAAGUAUCUGAGGGAGCAACUCGUAUUUGGUGAUAACAUGAACGCAAAUCAAUUUUAGAAAAUACUCGAGCAGCCCCAAGCUCAUCAAGCAACUCGUCUAUCGUAGGAAUAGGGAAACGAUCACGAAUAGUAAUCGCAUUAAGAGCUCGAUAAUCAACACAAAAACGCCACGUGCCAUCCUUCUUUUUAACGAGCAACACUGGGGAGGAAAAAGGACUAGUGCUAGGUUUGAUAAUACCGUCAUGAAGCAUAGAGGAAAUAAUGGAGGUCAUGGUGUCUUUUUGGGAGUGUGGGUAACAAUAUGGUUUAAUAUUGACGGGAUUGGAGGAGGGGAUUAAAGGGAUGUGAUGGUCGUGGGGUCGGGAUGGGGGAAGGCUGUGAGGUUGUUGGAAUAUUUGAGAAAAUUUUUGGAGGAGGGUGGAUAGUGCCUGUUGAAAAAUUGGAGGAGGGUCGGUAGUGGAAGGGUGAAUGUUGGUGGAAAUAGUUGGUGGGGUAGUAACUGAGCAUAUGGUUAAAAGGUGAAAAGAGGCAAUGGAAUCUUGGUGAAGUAAUUAAUUGGCAAACUUGAUGGAAAGAAGCUUGGGUGGGGUUAUGAAGGGUCUCGCCAGUAAUGGUAAUAGGCAUGAAAUGGUGAUUAAAGGUGAAUGAAGGGAUCGAAAAAUCUGCCUGAACAGGGCCUAAGGUGCGUAACCAAGCUAGGCCUAAAACAACAUCAGCCCCCUCAAUGGGAAGAAGGUAUAAGGGUACCUGAAAGGUGUGUUGUUGAAAGGAUAUGGCAACUUGGGGGCAGUAGUCUUGGCAUAGAAUGUGGGCGCCAUUGCCUACCAUGACCUUAAAAAGGGAAGUGGGUUGAGUGGAUAAAUGUAAGUGUUUGGCUAGGCGAGGUUGGAUUAUAUUGUGGGAACUCUCGGUAUCGAUUAACACCAUGACUGACUGUCCAUUUAUGGUACCAUGGAAUUUGAGGGUAAAAGUCGGCCCAAAAGGUUGGAGAACCUCCCGCCUUAUAAGGCCUCCUUGGUAAGGAGACCUCCCCGAUGUGGGACUUGUUACAUUACCACCCCCUUCGAAAGCCAGUGUCCUCGAUGGCUGCACUCCAUGGUACUUCACUCACCGGCACUUCACUCGGCCUUUUGCUGGUCAGAACCCUCCGAUGGUCAGAACCCUCCGUGGGUAGCCCUUUUCGAUUUGGCUGGCUCUCAAUGAAAGCACUAAUGAUAGGUUUCAAAUUACUGAGAGCUAGGGCUACACUAGUAUUACUAAAAUAAAGAAAAGCUAAUUCAGGAAAAUGAUAUUCUCUCCCAUUCAAUUAACCUGAACAUACAUAUAUAGGUCCCUAGAAAAUAUCUAAUGGACGCUGGGCUUGUAAAAACAAGGGCUGGAAAUUAUUAAAAAAAACAACUGAAACAUAAAAGGAACAAUUGGGCCUAUCAUUAGAUAUAGUCUUUCAUCCAAGCUGGUGAUUGCUUGUAUCUUUUGGGCCUAUCAGUGUUGCUACAUUUCCUAUGGCAACAAAGAUUAAACUGAGGUUAGGUAAUGUUGUAUUAUGUGCCAUGUAUCUUUGAAUUUCGGCAUUGUAGUAAGGAAUUGCAUGUUCUGACAUUUUCUUUUGACAAGUCAAUAGUUUGAAAAAUUAGAAGAUUUUGUGUUGUACUCAGGCUUCAACUCUUAACAUCUGUGUAAUGAUUUUGAAGCUAGGUUUAAACUUGUAUUUUAUACUUGUUCAAUCCAUAGCCUUCGAUUUUAUGCCUAAGGCAUUUAGAAUUUUGUUGACUUAUAUUACUAACUUCUAUUUCUGUGUGAUUGUAAACCUAUAGGAAAAAGUGUCAAGUAGAAAGUUGGAAAUAACUAAACUACUCCAUCCCA